rnacentral:rRNA from 1 species
UACGUAGGGAGCAAGCGUUGUCCGGAAUCAUUGGGCGUAAAGCGCGCGUAGGCGGCCUCAUAAGUCCGUUGUGAAAGUCAAAGGCUCAACCUUUGAAAGCCGAUGGAUACUGUGAGGCUAGAGUACGGAAGAGGCGAGUGGAAUUCCUGGUGUAGCGGUGGAAUGCGCAGAUAUCAGGAGGAACACCAAUAGCGAAGGCAGCUCGCUGGGACGUUACUGACGCUGAGACGCGAAAGCGUGGGGAGCAAACAGG